UACGGAGGAUCCAAGCGUUAUCCGGAAUCAUUGGGUUUAAAGGGUCCGUAGGCGGUUUAAUAAGUCAGUGGUGAAAGCCCAUCGCUCAACGGUGGAACGGCCAUUGAUACUGUUAGACUUGAAUUAUUAGGAAGUAACUAGAAUAUGUAGUGUAGCGGUGAAAUGCUUAGAGAUUACAUGGAAUACCAAUUGCGAAGGCAGGUUUAACUACUAAUUGAUUGACGCUGAUGGACGAAAGCGUGGGUAGCGAACAGG
rnacentral:rRNA from 1 species